rnacentral:rRNA from 1 species
AUGGCUCGUGCUACCGUUCCUUUGAAUUUUAAUGCGUUCCUAGAGAAAGCUAAGUUGAAAGAUGAUGGUAGAAAUUACACGGACCGGGUCCGUAACUUGACGAUUAUCCUCAUUGCUGCACAGAAGAAUUACAUCCUGGAAGCACCGCUAGGUGCAAGGCCUGCUGGAGAUGCAACUGCGGACGUUAGGAACGUCUGGCAGAGCAAAGUUGAUGACUACUCGAUAGUUCAGUGUGCCAUGCUUUACGGCUUAGAAUCGGGACUUCAAAGACGUUUCGAAUGUCAUGGAGCAUAUGAGAUGUUCCAAGAGUUGAAGUUAAUAUUUCAAGCAAAUGCCCGAGUUGAGAGAUUUGAAGUGUCCAACAAGUUCUAUAGCUGCAAAAUGGAGGAGAAUAGUUCUGUUAGUGAACACAUACUCAGAAUGUCUGGGUACUAUAACCACUUGAUUCAGCUGGGAGUUAAUCUUCCUAAUGAUAGUGUCAUUGACAGAGUUCUUCAAUCACUGCCACCAAGCUAUAAAGGCUUCGUGAUGAACUAUAAUAUGCAAGGAUGA